GAUGAACGCUGGCGGCGUGCCUAAUACAUGCAAGUCGAGCGAACAGAUGAGGAGCUUGCUCCUCUGACGUUAGCGGCGGACGGGUGAGUAACACGUGGAUAACCUACCUAUAAGACUGGGAUAACUUCGGGAAACCGGAGCUAAUACCGGAUAAUAUAUUGAACCGCAUGGUUCAAUAGUGAAAGACGGUUUUGCUGUCACUUAUAGAUGGAUCCGCGCCGCAUUAGCUAGUUGGUAAGGUAACGGCUUACCAAGGCAACGAUGCGUAGCCGACCUGAGAGGGUGAUCGGCCACACUGGAACUGAGACACGGUCCAGACUCCUACGGGAGGCAGCAGUAGGGAAUCUUCCGCAAUGGGCGAAAGCCUGACGGAGCAACGCCGCGUGAGUGAUGAAGGUCUUCGGAUCGUAAAACUCUGUUAUUAGGGAAGAACAAAUGUGUAAGUAACGAUGCACGUCUGGACGGUACCUAAGCAGAAAGCCACGGCUAACUACGU
rnacentral:rRNA from 1 species